rnacentral:rRNA from 1 species
UACGGGGGGGGCAAGCGUUGUUCGGAAUUACUGGGCGUAAAGGGCUCGUAGGCGGCCAACUAAGUCGGACGUGAAAUCCCUCGGCUUAACCGGGGAACUGCGUCCGAUACUGGAUGGCUUGAGUUUGGGAGAGGGAUGCGGAAUUCCAGGUGUAGCGGUGAAAUGCGUAGAUAUCAGGAGGAACACCGAUGGCGAAGGCAGGUCUCUGGGCCAUAACUGACGCUGAGAAGCGAAAGCAUGGGGGAGCGAACAGG